AUUGAACGCUGGCGGCAUGCUUUACACAUGCAAGUCGAACGGCAGCGCGGGCUUCGGCCUGGCGGCGAGUGGCGAACGGGUGAGUAAUGCAUCGGAACGUGCCCAGUCGUGGGGGAUAGCCCGGCGAAAGCCGGAUUAAUACCGCAUACGACCUGAGGGUGAAAGAGGGGGACCGAAAGGCCUCGCGCUAUUGGAGCGACCGAUGUCGGAUUAGCCAGUUGGUGGGGUAAAGGCUUACCAAGGCGACGAUCCGUAGCUGGUCUGAGAGGACGACCAGCCACACGGGGACGGAGACACGGCCCAGACUCCUACGGGAGGCAGCAGUGGGGAAUUUUGGACAAAGGGGGCAACCCUGAUCCAGCCAGGCCGCGGGCGGGAAGAAGGCCUUCGGGUUGUAAACCGCUUUUGUUCGGGAAGAAAUCCUCUGGGCUAAUACCCCGGGGGGAUGACGGUACCGGAAGAAUAAGCACCGGCUAACUACGUG
rnacentral:rRNA from 1 species